CUAAUCCAAAUAUAACAAAUCAACUCAACAAAUCCCAUUAUCUAAACCAAACAUACUGUCAUAUUUAAUAUACCAAUCUAAUACUUGUAUCAAACUUGCUAGUUAAUCCAAAGUAGUGAAAGAUUAAUAUGAACUUAUACAAAGAAUUUAAAUAUAAUACGUAAACGAAGUACAUAUUUCCAAAAGAACAAAUGAAAAAAUUGGGGCAGGCAAACUCAUAUGCUCGGAACUAUCGGAAUAUAGAUCAAAGAAGAACUGAUUUAAUUACACAACUAUUGCCAAUUUAAAAGAAUCUGCAAUGGCCAAAUUCAGUUUAGGUUCCUAAAACAAGCUCAUUAAAAGCUGGUCGGUCGCCUAUUAGAAAUAAUGCCAUUUUUGAACUUAAGAACUUGCUUUAUUGAAACAAUUCCAACCUUCAGCUGCAAUUAAACCGAUCAUUACACGAUUUGUAAUCAAAACAAACCACUACUUAGAAUUUCAAAGUAACAUGAAGUAAGCUAUAAGCAAUAUUCUGAAACUAUGAGAUUGAACCCCAGAAUACCGUGUGAUUAACAAGUUGUCUCAUAGGAGGAGGAUUUGACUCUUAAACACUUAGUUAAAACAAACUAUUACCUCAAAAGUCCAAUUUCUGAAACACUGAAAUCCAGAACUCAAACAGAGAUUAAAAGGCAAACUAAAAAUAUACAUGUAGCACUUACCAUUAAUAUAAGAAAUAGGUAAAGUUGUCCAAUCAUUUUAGUGCACCAUGUAUUUGAAAAUUGAUGCAACAGUAUAAUGCUUUCACAUUUACUUUAUACACUCAAAUCUAGAGGAACCAUUACUAUGAACGGAUGUUGAGUUUCUAAUAGCCAAUGCUUUAACUCUUUCUAAUUGAGAAGGCUACUGGAAAGAACAGAUACGGGGUAGAAAAUUUGGGUACCCAAGUUAGAUGAAGUAAUGUUGUUAUCCUUAAACAUGACCACAUGAAUGAACGGGGAGAAUAAGUCAAAUGAAGAAUAGCUCCCUUAAAUUCUAGAGAAAAGGAAGAUAUCUCGCCUUCAACACACAUUCAAAAACCUCUAACAUAUAGUCAAGCUACUUUUCGUAAGUAGCUGGAGAAGUAAAAGGCAAAUGUACACUAUCAAACUCAAACUUUCUCUAAUUGAACAAAUAACAAGAUUAUGCCUAUUUUCAGAUUCAAACAGUGACAUUCAAAAUAAAAAUCUCAUACCGGAAAAAUAAUGUGAUAAGAAUUUUUCGAAAGAAAACUAGACACAUACCUUGAAGAAUCUCAAGAAAUUCAAAAACGAAAAAAACUGUCUGUUUGAAACAAGAGCGAGCACAACUUCAAUAACAAAAUCUUUCCUUUGUUUGCAAGCACCUCCAAAGCAAUUACAGUAGAUGGAAUUGAAUUGAAAGGACUCCAAACUCAAACGCAGAUGCAACAGCACAGAAUUCCAGCCUUGAGGAGUAACGAGCAAAGCAAAUCCCAGUACUUCUACCCGAGAUGAUGUUCCAGAAAUCCAAAAAAUAAUAAUAAAAGUGGCAAUACUCAAACAAUUUCAAAACUCCUGCUUCUAUCUCUUUUGGUAUGAAAAUUCGAACAAAGAAAUAAAAACUUAGAUCAUUUUUAUUUCUUCUUCUUCGUUUUACUGAAAAAAAUGUAGACUAAGAAGAGGCCUGAAGAGAAGGAAGAAAUUUCAAAACCCUAGAAAUUUUACCACUCUUUUCUGAAAACUAUUCCUAGAUUUUUAUCCCAUUUUUUCUUCUAACCUAGCAAAGAAAUUACCUCAUAAAUAUAGCCUUCAAAGAUCUCAAAUCUUCACAUUUUUGAAUGAUUUUUGGGACAAAAGGAAGGCGUGGAUCGAUUUACAUCUAUCCACAUCUCCCAUUCAUCCAGCAAAUCAUUCCUAUAGUACAGAAAUCGUGCGAUUUUGAGAGAAUAUUCGUAUUUUUCUGACAAAACCCGUUGGGAAUCAAAUGACAAUUGAGUGAACUCGCCUAAGUUCCAGGCGAGUUGAGGGCUAAGUCGAUGGUUGAAAAAGAUGAACAAUAAUGAGGCUCGGUUUCUGUGUGCUCUAGAUGUAGAGUUUGAG
rnacentral:lncRNA from 1 species